UACGUAGGGGGCAAGCGUUGUCCGGACUUACUGGGCGUAAAGCGCGUGCAGGCGGCUUGGUAUGUGCCGUGUGAAAGCUCCCAGCUUGCCUGGGAGAGGUCGCGGUAGACUGCCGAUCUGGAGGCUCGGAGAGGUUAGUGGAAUUCCCGGUGUAGUGGUGAAAUGCGUAGAUAUCGGGAGGAACACCAGUGGCGCAAGCGGCUAACUGGCCGAGACCUGACGCUGAGACGCGACGGCGUGGGGAGCAAACCGG
rnacentral:rRNA from 1 species